rnacentral:rRNA from 1 species
AUGGCACGCAUAAACUUCGGUGUUAUCACCCUGAUCCCCAAAGUAGUUGGGGCGACGGACAUUCGCCAAUUCAGGCCUAUCACAGUUAUCAACGUCCUGGAGCGCAUCUUCUCUAAAGUAUGCGCGUCUAGACUCGUGCCUAUUGCUGAGAGGAUGAAUCACCCACUCCAGACAGCAUUCCUGAAAGGGAGAAGAAUCCAUGACGGGAUACUCUCCCUCCACGAGAUUGUCCAUGAGGUGCGAUCGCGUGGGCUGAAGGGUGUAUUUUUGAAGCUGGACUUCCAGAAAGCAUAUGAUCGGCUUGACUGA